CAACAGCUGGAGUUUGAAUCAUUUCAAAGGCUGGGACUCACUGUGCGCUCCACCAAAACUCAACAUGACUAGAGCCAUUAUUUCAUUGAUUCUGUUACUGCACUGGAGCCAAGGCACUAUUGGUGGCGAUGAUGUUAUUCAAGAGCCUAAAAUUCUGUGGGAACAAAAGGGGAAUUCUGCUUAUAUGAACUGCACUCAUAAUAAGGAUUCAUCCUACAGACAGAUGUACUGGUACCGCCAGCGUCCAGGAGAGACUAUGAGACUCAUUGUGUACACUGUUGCUAAUUUAAAUCCAGAAUUUGGAGAUGUUGAUCAGAAGAAAUUUGAACCUGAUAAAAGUGUUGCUGAAAGUGGAUCUCUAACAGUGAAAGAUCUAGAGCCAGAAGACAGUGCCAUAUAUUUCUGUUCAGUGAGAGAACACAGUGUGUCAAAGGCUGGAGAGUGCUGUACAAAAACAUACUGUACAUGAAAGAUCAGUGACAGCAUUAGUC